AGUAGUUUCUUAGCUAGCAUAAACACUGUCAGUCGCAGAAUCUGCCUGUAACGUAUCUCGAGAAGCACAACUUGAAAUCAUAGGAUAUAUCAAUAGCACAAACAGCAUGGUGGUAGCAGUAAGUGGUUGUAGUAAACGUGUCUCGCUGUUUAAAUUUUUACUUUUCUUAACAUUUAUGGAAUUUGCAAUUUCUAUACGUUUCUACGAGAUCUGUGAAGUGGGCAGAUGUAAGAACGGCGGUACAAUGUAUUUUCCGGACACUUUCUUGGGGAUGUGCAGGUGCAUCUGCCCGUAUCCAUAUAUUGGAGCCCUCUGCCAAAAUACUAGGAUAAUUCCUCGAAAAGCACGGUCUAAGAGAAGGAGGGGUUUGGAGAGACGAGGUCGAAGAUCUCUAUUGAUAAAAAUCUUAACGAAUUGAAUCUUUCAUUAAAUUUUAAAUGAAAAACCUGUUGUGAAAAUGCUACUGAGUCUACGCAUGAACAAUUUUGAUUUCACCAUGUCACAUUUCGUGCAUUUAUGAAGAACCUGGUGUUUUUGACAUCUUAUUUUGCAUACACGUGCGAAGAAUUCACAAAUAUGAAAUGUGAUUUAAAUAUGCUUCACCUAUAAAAAUCAAAAUCAGAAACUACUUGGUAUAAGCGUAUACCUGCAUUACACAACUGGAACUUUACAUUCCAUGGUGCACCCCUGUCUUUGGUGCAUUGAGUGAAAUAAAUACAUUCCAUAUUUAUAAUUUUGUCGCAGUUGGUGAACUGGGAGAAUCGACAGAGCGUCGGGCUAAAUACUUAGUAACAUCUCUUCCGAAUCUCUACUUUCUGAGUUCGAAUUCCUCCAAGAUCAACUUUACCUUUCAGGAUCAAUAAAAUAAACUAUCAGUUGAGCUCUUGGGUCGAUAUGACCACCUUCAACUUAGCCCUUUUAAAUACGCCAACAUUUAAAACCGCAUUUAUGAUAUCGUCAUAAAGACUUUCAAAGUUCAGUGUACUUUCUUUUAGAAUUAGUUUAUAUCUAAAUUAAUAAACAAAUUAUCUUGCGGUAUUAA